rnacentral:rRNA from 1 species
CACGUAGGGGACGAGCGUUGUCCGGAUUCAUUGGGCGUAAAGCGCGCGUAGGCGGCUCGGAAAGUCGGGCGUGAAAUGCCGGGGCUCAACCCCGGGACUGCGUCCGAUACUUCCGAGCUGGAGGUAGGUAGGGAGAUCGGAAUUCCUGGUGUAGCGGUGAAAUGCGCAGAUAUCAGGAGGAACACCAAUUGCGAAGGCAGCUCGCUGGGACGUUACUGACGCUGAGACGCGAAGCGUGGGGAGCAAACAGGAUUCGAAGAUACCCCGAGUAGUCCA